AAGCAAGUAAAUGCAAUCAAGAAGUGGGAAAUUAUAACCUUGAACUUGACCAAAGCCAGAAGAGCAUAUGCUGUGGCCUCUAGUGUGUAAACACGACCCCUUGGCACCGGCCAGUGGGAUAAAUCUGAGGAA